ensembl:lncRNA
UUCUAAUCACAGAAAUAUAGUAUAAAAGUAAUGCUUUAUCCCCCCCCCCAAAAAAAUUUUUUUUACAGAAUAGUCACACUUUUGAAUAGGGUACAAUUUUAUUUAAAUUGAUCUAAAUAAAAUUACAAGAUAAUAUUACCAUGCUGGUUCAUAUCAAAAUAAAUAAAACACCAUUAACAACUUUCUUAACAGCAGCAUUAUGUACAAGGCUAAUGAAAAAGAGCUACAUGCAGUAUUAAACAAAAGACUGCAAUUGUUUGCAUUCUAAUCUAACAUUGUAAAGUUUUUUCUUCUUUUAUUUUUUCUUCCCCUUAUUCAGGACUACAUGUGGGAAUUUGUCAGUCAUAAAAAGCUCAGCCGAUAUUAAAUCCUUGUUUACAAACAAGGAUUUGCUCUGUAAAGCCAUUCGUUAGCCGACGUAUAAGGUUUGUAAAAUUCAGCCUAUUACUCCUUCCCUGCCAAUGAAGUACUAACACUCACCUCUAAGCGCAGUUGUAAUAGUAUUAACACAAUACAGUACAUGAUGAAAAGGCUUGAUGGAUAUGAAGGAUAUGAAGCAGUUGAACUGGCCAUCGUGCUCUAUACGCCAGCACAUUACACUUACAUUUACACUCGGUCAUGUUUCUUUAUUUUGGUAGAUGCUUUCAUACACAUGACGAAGAAGCCAGUCUCGAGAACGCAAUAGAACUCACCCCUUUAUCACUAGUACAGAAUUUAAAAACUACGCUCAGGACACUUGUAUGGUAAAUGUGUGAGAAACACUUCAGAAGAAAAAGUCACACUAUAGUACAGUGGUCACCAACCUUCUUCCUAGAGUUCUAGACCUUUGUUGACGUUUUCAUCUCCAACCAAAAUCUAACACACCUGUUUUAGUUGAUCAAGAACUUCUUAAGGCAAUGAUUAAGCUGGUCAGGUGGGCACAGUUCUGCUUGGAGCUAAAGUCUCCAGGAACAGAGUUGGUGACCAUUGCCUUAGAACAAUUUACGAACAGAAGACGGACACGUAAAACGAGAAAUGUUUAGAAUCCAAUGAUAAAAAUGACUGGUACAAUUGGUACCAAUAGUUUUGGUACAAGGUACAAUUUACUGUUCUCAUUAACACCAAAAUCGAAAACAUCAGCAAACUGGAGUGGACGUACAGAUGAUAAAUAAAUAAAUAAAUCUGAACCAGUGUGAUAAGGGGUUAAACUGUGGAUAACAAAAUUUCAGAAACAUCAUGUAUCAUGAAAAAAAAAAACAAUUUACAAAGACAAAGACAGACACUCUACUGUUAGAAGCAAGAUCUUAAAAUACACUAUAUGGCCAAAAGUAUGUGGACACCUGACCACUGCACUCGUGUGUGGUUUUUCCCCCAAACUGUUGCCACAAAGUUGGAAGCGCAUAACUGUCUGGAAUAUCUUUGUAUGUUUUAGCAUUACAAUUUCCCUUGAACUAAGAAGCGCAAACAUGCUCCAUCAUGACAAUCCCCCUGUGCACGAAGCAAACUCCAUGAAGACAUGGUUUGCCAAGGUUAGAGUAGAAGAACUCGAGUGGCCUGCACAGAACCCUGACCUCAACCCCACUGAACACCUUUGAGAUGAAUUAGAAAGCAGGCUGAACCCCAGGCCUUCUCGCGUUACAUCACUAAUGCUCUUGUGGCUGAAUGAGCAAAUCCUCACAGGACAUAUGGGUCUUAUAGUCAAGUGUCCACAAACUUUUAUCCAUAUAGUGUAGUUCAAGCAAGAGUGCUUAAUAAAGAUUGCGCAGUAAAUAACGUCAAGGCUCUAUGAAGUUUGCACAAAAUGUGCACAUUUUAAUUUGCUCAUGUGUUUUUGACAGCUCAAGCGUAAUUAGAACGAUUCCUCUAUAUUCUUCCUCUGUACUUGCGUCUUAAUACGGACACAGCGAAGACCUGGAUAAGCGGAUUGCUUUGAUUAACUAUUUGGCAACUAAAAAUGGAGUUGAAAUACUUGUAAUUAUUUAUAUAGUGUGAUAUAGUGGGGGGAGAAAACUGUGUUCUCUUUAAUUGGAGCCCUAUGUGAUUCAUUUUACAUAAUUGUACAUGAUAUUUCAGUUCAUAGCACAACUGUAAACAGCCUUGGGACAUCCCUGCUCAAAUAAAACAACAACAAAUUAAUAAACAAAA